UAGGGAAUCUUCCACAAUGGACGCAAGUCUGAUGGAGCAACGCCGCGUGAGUGAAGAAGGUUUUCGGAUCGUAAAGCUCUGUUGUUGGUGAAGAAGGAUAGAGGCAGUAACUGGUCUUUAUUUGACGGUAAUCAACCAGAAAGUCACGGCUAACUACGUGCCAGCAGCCGCGGUAAUACGUAGGUGGCAAGCGUUGUCCGGAUUUAUUGGGCGUAAAGCGAGCGCAGGCGGAAUGAUAAGUCUGAUGUGAAAGCCCACGGCUCAACCGUGGAACUGCAUCGGAAACUGUCAUUCUUGAGUGCAGAAGAGGCGAGUGGAAUUCCAUGUGUAGCGGUGGAAUGCGUAGAUAUAUGGAAGAACACCAGUGGCGAAGGCGGCUCUCUGGUCUGCAACUGACGCUGAGGCUCGAAAGCAUGGGUAGCGAACAGG
rnacentral:rRNA from 1 species